rnacentral:rRNA from 1 species
UACAGAGGUCUCAAGCGUUGUUCGGAUUCAUUGGGCGUAAAGGGUGUGUAGGUGGCGCCGUAAGUCGGGUGUGAAAUUUCGGAGCUUAACUCCGAAACUGCAUUCGAUACUGCGGUGCUUGAGGACUGGAGAGGAGACUGGAAUUUACGGUGUAGCAGUGAAAUGCGUAGAUAUCGUAAGGAAGACCAGUGGCGAAGGCGGGUCUCUGGACAGUUCCUGACACUGAGACACGGAAAGCGUGGGUAGCAAACAGG